UUCCCACCGCUCGAUUAGGAUCAUUUAUCCUCUCGCGUCCACCUCAGUGUGCGGCACCGGUUAACGAUACCGCUUGUAUUGUGCCCGUUCAAAUGUCUCAGUAUCCAUGCUCAGUAAUAGGUUGCAAGCCUAGUGAUCGGCGAGGGCGCAUUCGGCAUAGCUUGCCGAGAGAUGAAGCGCAGCGCCUUGCCUGGCUGCAAUGCAUUGGCCUUCCGGCCACGCAGAAGUAUGCGCUUGUCUGUGAUCGUCACUUCAAGCCGGAGGAUUAUAACCACGACCCGCGCAUUCGACAUGGAAUGAGCACUGUGCUCAGGCUAGCGCUGCUCCCAGGCACACUGCCGACACUCUUCGUUCCGAACAGGCCUUGUGUGCCUGACCCACGCAGCAAUGUUCCUGAAGCAUCACAAACUUGCAAAACAUGCAGAUGCAGGCAAGCACCACAGUUGUCCACAGCCAGCACCCAGACGACACUGGAUGACUGCAGCCGUCCUAAGACAUCCGAUAAUGGCACACAAACGCUGACAAUCCUGCGCACAGCUGCUACCCCGACACCACAGCAGGUGACGCAGGUGCACUCUGAUGUUCGAGUGCAAACCUCAACAGGCAUGUGGACCGACAGCUGUGACAUGUCCUUGCCACCAGCAACACCCAAAUGGUCCACUGAUCCUUCUGCUUUGCUGUGGGGGCCUCAAACUCGAGCUUCUUCAACACCAGUGCACGGCGCAUUAUUUGUGGAUGCUGAUCAGGCAGAAGAAAUGGAGUGGGACAAUUUAAGAUCACCCGACUCCAGCUCGAGGCCUUCAGCAGAAUAACUCAACAGCACUAGUGCUACCAACUCAACUGAUGAGGUUGACACGUUACUGCCUACCACAAGCUGCGGUGCCCGGGAGCCGACCACAGCAUCAACAUCUACAAGCCACAGCCAUGGGGAGCCUGCUGCAUAGCCUGACAGUGAACCUUUACCACCAGCAGCAGACCAAGCUUGUGGCAAAUGUAGCUGCUGACGAAUUGGACUUGGCAGGGGAUGGUCACUGUGAUUCUCCAGGGCGUAGUGCCAAAAACUUAAAAGACGAAUCACAUCCUGCAUCGUCAACAGGUGCAAGCCCGAGAGAUGGAUGCUGUGCCUAACAGCAAUGCAGUGGAGAAGGAAGGUCUACAGAAAAGCCUGAGGAAGCUAGAAGGAUGUGGAAUAAAAUUCCGAUCCUUUACAUCAGGUUAUGUCCACCAGCUGCAUGUGAUGUCAUCAACAGAGCCUGCAGCAGAGCAUCCAACAGCCAUAGUGGUGCAUGACAAGCCCGGCAAAGAAGCAUUGGGUAGCACAUUUCAAAUCAAGGUUUCAAUGCACUGCUCAAAUUGGCUGAGGUGCCAGUACUUCAUUUUAGUCAGCACAGGCAGGGGCUUCUACCCAAGGAGACAUCUCUUUGUAUAGACAUGUCAAUAGUGUGACACCCAUGUGUCAACUCGGUCACUUGGCACGACAUGCAUGAAUGCUACCUGAAAUCCCAGCAACAAGGCAGACGUGCAACAUGCACACUUUCUAAGGGCCAUUACCCUGAUAUGGAACACUAGCAUGAGCCUAAACCAAAUUGUUCUGGGACAGAAAUAGUUCAAUGGCUGUUUUCCUUUUGAAUGCUGUGUAGUUUAAAAGUAUGUGCCUUGUAGUUAAUUCUCGUUCUUUCCCGACAUCGUUACUUUUAAAUCUAACAUUACUUUUCCAUGUUACAGUUUAAAAUAAUUUAUUUGUUUAUUUAAUUUAUUACCAAAUGUGACUGUAUCUAUGUAGUCUUGCCACGCUGAAGCAAGUCCAACCGCUGUCAUCAAGCAAACAACUCAAAACAUGGUGACCGAAGCCCUAGCAGCAACACACACUUCGUUCUCAUCAAGUUUGCUUUGUGCAUCCUAGCCUCAUCAUCAUGACAAUAUGCUAUGAAUGGUGUCUUUUGGUCUUAUUAUUGGUCUUCAGGGUGUACCUCAUCCCAUGCAAUUUUUGUUUCCUCAGCACUGUCUUUAUUGUGCGUUAUCAACUCCUUUCACUUACAAUUUUUCAGUGCUUUGAGCACAUUUUUGCUGUGAUGCAACUCAAUAAAUAACCUGUAUUUUGUCUUCAUUGUGUAUGUUUUUUCUGUGAGAUUUUUUUUCUCCGGCAGAAGCAAUUUGCACUGCAUCUUUUAUCUUAGUUCUUGCACAU